AAAAUCUAGUGUGCCAGCGCAAUGUGGAACGGUGACGCCUCUUCAGAUGGGUUACUGAGUCCUUGAUCUAAAUUUACCACGUCAUGCGUAGGCUGGCUAAUUGUAAUUUAAGCGCGACGGUAUUUUUUAAAAUCCUACCCUGCGCAAUUAAAAUGCAGGACGUUGCCCAUUAUCCUAUAGGCUAUGGGAACCGUUGUCCACAAGGUCCACGCGCAAAAUGCUACAACACAGUCCCCUGCCAUGAAUGCUACGACCAGAGCUGGCGGUGCGAGUUCCAACAUGACCAAGAUGCCCGAUGUCACCAAGAACAACAACAUUGCCAAAGGAGCCAGUGCAUCCUUGCAGUCCAGCUCGGUUGCGCUCAUCAUACCCAUCAUGGUGGGGGGCUCACUACAGGGGCGCUUCUAGAGGGCUGUUGCGCAGUGAAUCGACACCGGCAAGACUUGAACAUCAGCGGCCGAGAUGGGGCAAACUUUUUUACUAAGAGCACAUUUUGUAUAUACUUUUCAGAAAGGCAGUCAUGUGCGCUCCUAACCGAAGAGAUUCGGUGGAGUUCCGUGCUGGACGAGAACCCAUUUCUACUUCACUGAUGGGAGUUGUUAUUUGCCCUCAGACCUUCAAACCAGUAGACCUUCACACCUCGCACACUGGCCCCAUGCUCAUAGGCCGAACGGUACGGUCCUCUCCAUGAUGAGGAUGCACUCUGCUCUUUGAACCGUUUGGUCCCGCUGUUCCUGUGUCGACACCAGGGGGUUGCUUAGUAAUUUGUUAAGAAGUUAACAUAUCUAAAGAAAUGUUGGUUGAGGCACUUUGAAAAUAAGGUAUAAAUGAAUCUGGCACAUGCACAGGCUUGAUGUACACUUGUGAUAUAUGUUUAAGGCCAGGCUCAAUUAACUUUAAAAUGUAGGAUACUUGUGACCAUUUUCUUGUGUAAUAAAAAUAUUUUAACAUGAUGUUUCUUCUCCUGUCUCUAAAUUCUAAAGCUUGACCUGACUAGUAAUUUGCUCUGUUCCACUUGUGUCCAGCCCCUUUAUUGAUCAC
ensembl:lncRNA